UACGUAGGUGGCAAGCGUUGUCCGGAUUUACUGGGCGUAAAGGGCGUGCAGGCGGUCUGUUAAGUUCAGGGUGAAAGCUCCCUGCUCAACUGGGAGAGGUCCUUGGAUACUGGCAGACUUGAGGAGGGUAGAGGAGAGUGGAAUUCCCGGUGUAGUGGUGAUAUGCGUAGAUAUCGGGAGGAACACCGAUGGCGAAGGCAGCUCGCUGGGACGGUACUGACGCUGAGACGCGAAAGCGUGGGGAGCAAACAGG
rnacentral:rRNA from 1 species